GGUGUAACAUCCACUACUGAGUCUGAAAUCACAACAGACCUGAUAACCAAUAUGUCAAGUCUAAGUUCCCAAGACAACCAUAGUUUAAAAGAUCCUGCAAACGCAUCCUUAGAAUCGACUACACUUACUGAUAAUACAGAACGUGCUUCAG